AGUAACGCGUGGGAAUCUACCCAGUAGUGGGGGACAACAGUUGGAAACGACUGCUAAUACCGCAUACGCCCUAAGGGGGAAAGCAGGGGGCUCUUCGGAGCCUUGUGCUAUUGGAUGAGCCCGCGUGAGAUUAGAUAGUUGGUGAGGUAAUGGCUCACCAAGUCUACGAUCUCUAGCUGGUCUGGGAGGAUGAUCAGCCACACUGGAACUGAGACACGGUCCAG
rnacentral:rRNA from 1 species